AGUGAACGCUGGCGGUAGGCCUAACACAUGCAAGUCGACCGGCAGCACAGUAAGAGCUUGCUCUUACGGGUGGCGAGUGGCGGACGGGUGAGGAAUACAUCGGAAUCUACUUUUUCGUGGGGGAUAACGUAGGGAAACUUACGCUCAUACCGCAUACGACCUACGGGUGAAAGCAGGGGAUCUUCGGACCUUGCGCGAUUGAAUGAGCCGAUGUCGGAUUAGCUAGUUGGCGGGGUAAAGGCCCACCAAGGCGACGAUCCGUAGCUGGUCUGAGAGGAUGAUCAGCCACACUGGAACUGAGACACGGUCCAGACUCCUACGGGAGGCAGCAGUGGGGAAUAGUGGACAAUGGGCGCAAGCCUGAUCCAGCCAUACCGCGUGGGUGAAGAAGGCCUUCGGGUUGUAAAGCCCUUUUGUUGGGAAAGAAAAGCAGCAGGUUAAUACCCCGCUGUUCUGACGGUACCCAAAGAAUAAGCACCGGCUAACUUCGUG
rnacentral:rRNA from 1 species